UUCCUGUCAGUCUGAACCACAGACAGUACCGGGGACUCUAAGCUUAACCACCUCGUGCCUUGCAUUUGUGGCUAAGGAUAUUCAGAGUUGUGGGAUGCUGACAAAGUUCACCCCAAAAAGUGUGAAGAGGACAAAGAUCUUACAGAGUCUGUGCUGGAGGAGGAGCUGGAGUUUGAGGAGCGGGAACUGGCUGAGUUGCCGAGACCAGCUGCAAGGCUCCGAAUACAUGAUCCCUUCAUCCAGGCUCAGGCAGAAGUGACCCACUUAUGGCAGAAGAUACAGGGAGGGAGAGGUGUCUGCUGCCUUUUCACCCAGCGUGUGAAGAACACAGUCAAGUCUUUUGAGGGCCUCCUCAGGAACACUGGCAUUACCUACAACCAGAGACAGAGACUCUGUGAGCAAAUGGUAGAAGGAAGCCAGCUGACAGAGAUCCUUGCCAGAAACCUCGCAACAGGUAA